rnacentral:rRNA from 1 species
GCUGGCGGCGUGCCUAACACAUGCAAGUCAACUUGACUGAAGGAGCAAUCUGACAGUAGAGUGGCGCAAGGGUGCGUAACGCGUAAGUAACUUGCCCAAGGUAAGGAAUAACGUCGAGAAAUCGGCGCUAAUACCUCAUAAUGCAGCGGAUCCGCAUGGAUAUGUUGUUAAAGGUUUACCGCCUUGGGAUAGGCUUGCGUCUGAUUAGCUAGUUGGUGUGGUAACGGCACACCAAGGCUACGAUCAGUAACUGGUCUGAGAGGAUGAUCAGUCACACUGGAACUGAGACACGGUCCAGACUCCUACGGGAGGCAGCAGUGAGGAAUAUUGGGCAAUGCUCGAAAGAGUGACCCAGCAACGCCGCGUGGAGGAUGAAGGUAUUCUAUAUCGUAAACUCCUGUGAGAGCAGACGAAAGACAGAUUAUUAAUCUGGAUGACUGUAUGCUCAGAGGAAGCCCCGGCUAACUACGUG